AUUGAACGCUGGCGGCAGGCCUAACACAUGCAAGUCGAGCGAGCGGCGGACGGGUGAGUAAUGUAUGGGGACUGCCCGAUAGAGGGGGAUAACUCCUGGAGACGGUGGCUCAUACCGCAUACAGUCGGAUAACCCAUAUGUGGUUAGCUAGUAGGUAAGGUAAUGGCUUACCCAGGCGACGAUACCUAGCUUGUCUGAGAGGAUGAUCAGCCAAACUGGGACGGAGACACGGCCCAGACUCCGACGGAGGCAGCAGUGGGGAAUAGUGCACAAUGGGCGCAAGCCUGAUGCAGCCAUGCCGCGUGUAUGAAGAAGGCCCUAGGGUUGUAAAGUACUUUCAGUGGGGAGGCGUUACCGACAGAAGAAGCACCGGCUAACUCCGUGCCAGCAGCCGCGGUAAUAC
rnacentral:rRNA from 1 species